GUGCCAGCAGCCGCGGUAAUACCGGCAGCCCGAGUGAUGGCCGAUAUUAUUGGGCCUAAAGCGUCCGUAGCUGGCUGAACAAGUCCGUCGGGAAAUCCACGUGCUUAACGCGUGGGCGUCCAGCGGAAACUGUCUGGCUUGGGGCCGGAGGACUCGAGGGGUACGUCCGGGGUAGGAGUGAAAUCCCGUAAUCCUGGACGGACCGCCGGUGGCGAAAGCGCCUCGGGAGGACGGACCCGACAGUGAGGGACGAAAGCCAGGGUCUCGAACCGGAAUAGAAACCCUAGUAGUCC
rnacentral:rRNA from 1 species